rnacentral:rRNA from 1 species
GUUAGGAAUAUUGCACAAUGGACGAAAGUCUGAUGCAGCAACGCCGCGUGGAGGAUGACGGCUCUAGGGUUGUAAACUCCUUUUCUUAGGGAAGAUUAUGACGGUACCUAAGGAAUAAGCUCCGGCUAACUACGUGCCAGCAGCCGCGGUAAUACGUAGGGAGCAAGCGUUAUCCGGAAUUACUGGGCGUAAAGAGUUCGUAGGUGGUAUUUUAAGUCAGAUGUUAAAUCUUUGGGCUCAACCCAGAGGCUGCAUUUGAUACUGAAGUACUAGAGACAAGGAGAGGUAAGCGGAAUUUGUAGUGUAGCAGUGAAAUGCGUAGAUAUUACAAGGAACACCAAUGGCGAAGGCAGCUUACUGGUCUUGUUCUGACACUGAGGAACGAAAGCGUGGGGAGCGAAAGGGAUUAGAUACCCGGGUAGUCC